rnacentral:miRNA from 12 species
AUUUGUAGGGCAGCUCUGCGGCC